rnacentral:rRNA from 1 species
UACAGAGGUCUCAAGCGUUGUUCGGAUUCAUUGGGCGUAAAGGGUGUGUAGGUGGCGCGCUAAGUCGGGUGUGAAAUUUCGGAGCUUAACUCCGAAACUGCAUUCGAUACUGGCGUGCUUGAGGACUGGAGAGGAGACUGGAAUUCAUGGUGUAGCAGUGAAAUGCGUAGAGAUCAUGAGGAAGACCAGUGGCGAAGGCUAGUCUCUGGACAGUUACUGACACUGAGGCACGAAGGCCAGGGGAGCAAACGGG